AAGUCGUAACAAGGUUUCCGUAGGUGAACCUGCGGAAGGAUCAUUAUCGAAAUAUUGCGGACUGAGUUGUCGCUGGCCUCGCAUGAGGCAUGUGCACGCUUGUCUCGAUCUUCAUACACCUGUGAACUCACUGUAGGGCGCUGGGAGGGGGACUUCGGUCUUCCCUCGGGGCUCUACGUUUUUACACAAACCCUUAACGUAUCAGAAUGUCUGUUAUUCUGCCUUAACACGCAGAAGAAUCAAAUACAACUUUCAACAACGGAUCUCUUGGCUCUC
rnacentral:misc_RNA from 1 species